UGGGGAAUUUUGGACAAUGGGCGCAAGCCUGAUCCAGCCAUACCGCGUGAGUGAAGAAGGCCUUCGGGUUGUAAAGCUCUUUCAGACGGAAAGAAACGGUUACGGCUAAUACCCGUGACUAAUGACGGUACCGUAAGAAGAAGCACCGGCUAACUACGUGCCAGCAGCCGCGGUAAUACGUAGGGUGCGAGCGUUAAUCGGAAUUACUGGGCGUAAAGCGUGCGCAGGCGGUUUGGUAAGACAGAUGUGAAAUCCCCGGGCUUAACCUGGGAACUGCAUUUGUGACUGCCAGACUAGAGUGUAGCAGAGGGGGUAGAAUUCCACGUGUAGCAGUGAAAUGCGUAGAUAUGUGGAGGAAUACCGAUGGCGAAGGCAGCCCCCUGGGCUAACACUGACGCUCAUGCACGAAAGCGUGGGGAGCAAACAGGAUUAGAUACCCAGGUAGUCCCUGAGCGGGCUGGCAAGGCGCAU
rnacentral:rRNA from 1 species